CCUUGUUGCACCAUCCAAAUUUUCUUCAUAACUUGACAUUUUCAGCGUGCAGCUCGCUAGCUCGAAGUUUUUUGUUGUUCCCCGAAGAGAACGGAGACACACACAGAGA